AUCGCUUCUCAGCCUUUUGGCUAAGAUCAAGUAUA
rnacentral:snRNA from 1 species